GACGAACGCUGGCGGCGUGCUUAACACAUGCAAGUCGAACGGAAAGGCCCUGCUUUUGUGGGGUGCUCGAGUGGCGAACGGGUGAGUAACACGUGAGUAACCUGCCCUUUACUUUGGGAUAACUUCAGGAAACUGGGGCUAAUACCGGAUAGGAGCUCCUGCUGCAUGGUGGGGGUUGGAAAGUUUCGGCGGUUGGGGAUGGACUCGCGGCUUAUCAGCUUGUUGGUGGGGUAGUGGCUUACCAAGGCUUUGACGGGUAGCCGGCCUGAGAGGGUGACCGGACAAAUUGGGACAGAGAUACGGCACAGACUCCGACGGGAGGAAGCAGUGGGGAAGAUUGCACAAUGGGCGGAAGCAUGAUGCAGCAACGCGGCGUGCGGGAUGACGGCCUUCGGGUUGUAAACCGCUUUCGCCUGUGACGAAGCGUGAGUGACGGUAAUGGGUAAAGAAGCACCGGCUAACUACGUG
rnacentral:rRNA from 1 species